rnacentral:rRNA from 1 species
CCUACGGGUGGCAGCAGUGGGGAAUAUUGGGCAAUGGGCGCAAGCCUGACCCAGCAACGCCGCGUGAAGGAAGAAGGCUUUCGGGUUGUAAACUUCUUUUCUCAGGGACGAAGCAAGUGACGGUACCUGAUGAAUAAGCCACGGCUAACUACGUGACAGCAGCCGCGGUAAUACGUAGGUGGCAAGCGUUAUCCGGAUUUACUGGGUGUAAAGGGAGUGUAGGCGGGACUGCAAGUCAGAUGUGAAAACCAUGGGCUCAACCUAUGGCCUGCAUUUGAUACUGUAGUUCUUGAGUACUGGAGAGGCAGACGGAAGUCCUAGUGUAGCGGUGAAAUGCGUAGAUAUUAGGAGGAACACCAGUGGCGAAGGCGGUCUGCUGGACAGCAACUGACGCUGAGGCGCGAAAGCGUGGGGAGCAAACAGGAUUAGAUACCCGAGUAGUC